rnacentral:lncRNA from 1 species
CCUCAAGGAUCAUGAGCAUCUUGGUUCCCUUUGCCUUUGGGUGGGACUCCUUGUGAUUGGUUUGAGAUCACCAAACAUGCAUGAAUUAUACAUCAUUGUUUCUCUUACUUUUGUUUACUAAAAAAAAAAGAAAAAAAAGGAAAAAAGAAAAUAAAAAAGAAAAUAAAAAAAAUAAAAUAAAAAAUAAAUAAAAAAUAAAUAAAAAAAUUGGACUUGGGCCUCUCUCAUUUGAGCCCACAGGUCCACAAAAAUCAGAUUAUAAAUUUAGAGUUUCAGUGAAACAAAGGACAUUCUAUACCUAUUACCCUGGCAGGAAAAAGAAAGUGAGAGAAGAGCUAAUAGAGAACUCAGAGCAGCCUCCAAACCCUGAAGGGAACUCAACUGCACAGAAUCACCUUUGCCUCACAUAAACCCUAAAGAUUGCUCUGCAAACC